GUGGCAUUCCAUCCCACGUCAUACAAAACCCUUCCUCUUCAACCUUUAGGAUCACAUUUUAGAAACUCCAAUUUGAGAAGAGCAUAAUCUUCCCAAAUAGCUUCUUCUUUUGGCAGGUUCGCCCAUUCAACCAAGACAUGUAUUACCGCCCUGUUUCCUCUCUUGACCAAUUUUCUUUUCAAAAUCACCACUGGUGCUGCUAAAAUCCAGAUAUCAUCGGAGCAAUACGGGGUUUUUGGGAUGGAAUAAUGUGAUCUCCUACCCUCUUCUGAUGAAUUUUUGAAGUAGCUGGCAAUUUGAGUUAAUACGCCACUGGCCCUAUUUCCUGAUCACUUCAUACGGCUCAAAGAAUCCAGCAGAUAACUUCAAACUCCUCUGCAUAGCCAUGGAUACCUGCCGAUAAGGCUGCAAUUUCAGAAAUACCAUGUCCCCUAUUGCAAAUUCCCUUUCAGUUCUUUUGGAAUCUGCAUAUUACUUCAUUCCAUUCUGAGUCUUGAUCAAAUUAUCCUUCGGAAAUUUGUUGACAAUCUACCUUUCUUUCAUUAACUGGUCCACAAAUUCGAGUUUGAAUUGUAAAAUAAACUCGAAGGAUGGCAGAGAAGGUUAGCCAUACAUACCCUUAAAUGGAGUCAUCCAUAUGGAUGAGUGAAAAUUAGUGUUACCAGAAUUCGACCAUCGGAAUCUAUUUGCUCCAAUCCUUGGGUUUGUAUCGUGUCAUACAACGCAGAUAAGCCUCAAUACACUGAUUCGAUCUUUCUGAUUGUCAUGGUAAGCUGAACUAAGCCUUUGCUCGACUUACAGGCCUUUAAAAAGUAAAUUUCAAAAUAAACUCUUGAAAAUUAUGUCUCUAUUGGACAUGAUGGAAUGUAGAAAAACAUGAAGCUUACAAACAUGGUGCAACAAAAUUUGUGCCACCUGAGAAGUAUUAUAAGGGUGAGUUAAGGUGAACAAAUGGGCAUAUUUUCUAUACAUGUCGAUACUAACUAAAAUGGUGUCUUUUUCAUGUGAUCUUGGUAGGCCUUCAAUUAAGUCCAUCGUCAAGUGCUCUUAAGCUUUGGAUGGAAUUGAUAAUGGCUACAAAAGUCCAGGGAAUGUUGGAAAUUUGGGCUCUCAUGAAGAAAUCUGACUCAAAAAGAAGUGUUCCGACUCACAAGGCAAGAAGGGGCGCAAUACACAAGAAAUGCGGUGCGCAGAGGUAUUUCUGCGGCCACAGAAGAAAGUGCGGACUACAGAAUUGGUGAAGAAGCCCAACAGACUUUAAGCAGAAGUACGGACCGCACAUGAAUUGUGCGGCCGCAAAACAGGAUUCGCACCGACAAGAAUUCAAAUGUUCAGAGAGUGUACAAAUUACCAAGACUUGAAGCCUUGCCUGAAGUGCGGACCGCACAAGAGUUAUGCGGCCGCAAAAGCCCUUGCAGCCGCACACCAAAUUGUGCGGCUGCAGAAUCCAAGUCCCUACAAAACCAAGCAAUGUACGGACUACACAUGGAAUUGUGCGGCAGCAGAAUCUCCCGAGUGGCAUUUUUGUUAGUGAAUUUUGGGCCACUAUAAAUAGAUGGGAAUCACAUUUUUAAGUCAAAUUUUGAAGUUCAAGCAGCUGUAGCCGUUGUAAUUUUCCAUUUUAGGAUAUUUGUGAUCAUUUUGGAAUUUAAACAUCAUAGUUUAUCA